AUUGAACGCUGGCGGCAGGCUUAACACAUGCAAGUCGAGCGGGGGAAGGUAGCUUGCUACCGGACCUAGCGGCGGACGGGUGAGUAAUGCUUAGGAAUCUGCCUAUUAGUGGGGGACAACAUCUCGAAAGGGAUGCUAAUACCGCAUACGUCCUACGGGAGAAAGCAGGGGAUCUUCGGACCUUGCGCUAAUAGAUGAGCCUAAGUCGGAUUAGCUAGUUGGUGGGGUAAAGGCCUACCAAGGCGACGAUCUGUAGCGGGUCUGAGAGGAUGAUCCGCCACACUGGGACUGAGACACGGCCCAGACUCCUACGGGAGGCAGCAGUGGGGAAUAUUGGACAAUGGGGGGAACCCUGAUCCAGCCAUGCCGCGUGUGUGAAGAAGGCCUUACGGUUGUAGAGCACUUUAAGCGAGGAGGAGGCUACUCUAGUUAAUACCUAGGGAUAGUGGACGUUACUCGCAGAAUAAGCACCGGCUAACUCUGUGCCAGCAGCCGCAGUAA
rnacentral:rRNA from 1 species